ACUGGCACAAAUACAGCACCUUCAGGGCGCAUCACUUCCUCUCUUUGGUUCCCCGGAGAGGUGCAUCUGGCUGGUGACUUCCUGUGAGCAGGCCUGGGCACCAGUUUGAUUCUGGAACUCGAGCCUGGAAGAGCUCCCUCAGACAACUUCCUUGAGACAGUCAC
rnacentral:lncRNA from 1 species